UACAGAGGGGGCAAGCGUUGUUCGGAAUUACUGGGCGUAAAGGGCGCGUAGGCGGCCUGCUAAGUCGAACGUGAAAUCCCCGGGCUCAACCCGGGAACUGCGUCCGAUACUGCUGGGCUAGAGUCCGGAAGAGGCGAGUGGAAUUCCUGGUGUAGCGGUGAAAUGCGCAGAUAUCAGGAGGAACACCGAUGGCGAAGGCAGCUCGCUGGGACGGUACUGACGCUGAGGCGCGAAAGCGUGGGGAGCAAACAGG
rnacentral:rRNA from 1 species